GUCAACAUAUUCACUCACACAUAUGGAGAGAUCUGUACUGACAAUUAUGUUUCAGAGCAUUAUAUGCUCAACCUUCCUUGGUACAACAGCUACCAGAGGAUGAAAGGGGUGUCUUCAUAGACUUGAUGGAUUUGCUGAAAGAAAAUGAAUGUGAUAUAGGUCAUGGUGGCAGAAAUCAGGAAACUUCAGGUGGAUACCAUUCAUAACAAAAAUUUGACUAGAACAGAAUUGGUGGCCAUCCAGAAUUUGCAGAAUAAUGCAACUUUUAUCAUUAAGGAAGCAGACAAAGGAGACCCCACCACAACAUUUAAGAAAAAAUUGGAUCGACUCCUCAUGUCUGCCUGGCAAUUUAAUAUCAUUACCAAAAAAGAAAAGGAAUUCAUGGAAGUCAAAUUUCCCAUUACUCCAACUUUUUAUAUGCUUCCAAAGCCCUUUGUCCUAGGUCUUCAGUCACAUCUUAGAGAUUCCAUGCAACUAGUACAACUCCUACAAGAGAUUCAACUUCCUCCAGGCACAGUGAUACUUACAUGCG